ensembl:lncRNA
GGCGCCGGGGCUGAGGGAGGGAGGAACGGUGGGGAGGGGAGGGCCGCUCUCCGCGGGGCCCGGCUCGGCGGCCUCUCCGGACCAAGGAGGAGAGACCCAGAGGACUAGGGGGUGGGGUGAGAGGAGAAAAGAGCAGUCACCCCCAACAGGCGCCUUCUGUCACCGAAGAUGAAGGUGCGAGUGGCCCACGAAGAAGAGCCGCGCCCGCCCGGGAAACUCUCCGCGCUAAAUGGCGCCGGAGUCUGAAGCCUCCACACAGCCCGCUCGGACCCCGCCCCCCGCGCCUUGGGCGGCUCCACCCCCGCCGCGCGCUCAGCUCCAGCGCAGGCGCGCUAGGUCCAAGCACCCUGGGACUCGUAGUUCGCUAGUGGAAGGCGUGAAAAGGACUGAGGAGACAGAGGCCUAGAACUUCCGUGAUGCCCUGCGGCGGCUUUAUUUUAAUGCCUCCCGGGAACUGUGGUUUUCUUUGGAAACCGCCCCUUCUGGAAGCCUGAUGGGAGAGUCAUCGUGGGUCCUUCAAACCUCUCCCGAAGUCAGUACUCGCUAGGAAAAUCAUUUCUUAGGGAUUAAUUGUGGACGAAGGGAAUGAAGCAAAGAAGAAAAAAGAAGUGAGAGAGAGCGGAGAGACUCCCAUCAUGCUCUGCCAAGAGGGUUGCCUUGCAGUGAAAAAUGAUCCUGUUAUUGGUCUUUAAUGGAGAGAGCCGCAGUAGUGUUGAGCGAGUGGGAUUUGAGGGAGGAGGGGAAGGCAAAGCGGGAGGGGAGAGCUGAGAGUCGGAAGAGCCAUCCACUCCUAGGAAACUUUAUGGAGAUAGUGCAUGAGAUUAAUAUUGAUUGGAUGGGUUAGGGUAGGAGCAUUAAAGCAGUAUUAUCUUCCACCCCACCACCACCCUCCUGCGUAUACAUAUACACACGCGGCGCGCGGACCAAUUAAGGCCACAUUUUCAGCUCCAGAUUCAAGACAAAUUCUGAAUGCAAAGAUGGGCUCCUCUGCUGAAAUCAAGGAUUGUCUUGUUUUGCCAGAAAAAAAGAGUAAUGGGUAGGGGAGAGGGAUUCAAGAAAAGAUAAAGAUAUAGUACAUGUUCGCGUCUUUGACCAUAAACUUGAGAGGGCCGAGUUGACUUCUGCCUUUGCAGUUGGUUAAAACUUAUUUUCCAUCUUUCUUUUGCUUAGGAGCUUAGUAAACAAACAAACAAAAAAACACCCCUUCUUUCUCUGGAGCUGCAUGAAUGUACGUAUAUAAUUAAUACCAAGGCGCUGGACCCAGGAAAUCUGGAUCCAUACAAUUCACAGUGCGGGAAAUACUUGGCUUCAAAUCAUCGUUGUGCUCCCUGGCUCCCUUAGCAGUUUGCUACAACAGUACGCGGGAUUGCACAGGUGAUGAGCAGCAGGGGGCACCAGACAGAGCAGGAAGCGGGAUUUGGAAAUCAGACGGCAGUUAAAGUCUUAGCGGGACGGGUAAGAGCGGGAAGGCUUAAGCGCACGCAACCGCCUCGGAGUGUGGAUGCGCCUCCGCCUCUCAUCCGCGCCUGUGGACCGCGCUGAGAAUAGCAGUAGUUUGGAAACCAGUGGCCAGAAGAUUCGUUAGCACAGUUUCUCUGGAUGAGCGCCGCUUAGAGAAGACUUGCUUGUAUAAACUCAUCAGACACGCUGAAACUAACGCUGCUUCUCUUUUUGCUUUGUUUCGUUUUGUUUGCCAGAGCUACACUUUCAGGCUUACCCACAACGUUCGUUUUAAACCAAUGGUAUUUAGAUUUCGUGAAACUGAUAGGUUAUGAACAUUGUAAAGUACAAAUUCAGGAGAGGCAGGGCCGGGGAUUUAGCCCAGUGGUUUCGCAGCUUGCUGCACAAGUUCAGGGACCCGAGUUCGAUCCCCAGUACAAAAAAAAAAAAAAAAAAUUCAGUAGGGGCAACUAGAGUACAGUUCUAAAAUACUAAUGUUCCAUUGUUUUAGAGAAUAAAUUUUUCAUUUGCCAUUUCUAACGGUAAAUCUUGUGAGGAUUAUAACUAGUGGAUUUUCUCCAGUGAUAAACCUAAUGUCAGCAAGGGAAGAAAUGGCAGUAAAGUGUGUUUUUGUUGUGCCUCUUGGUGCUUCUUAGACGUUACCCAGUUGUUGUUUUACUAGGAAAAAGUUUGUAACAUAAGACAACUAAUCACAAUGUUCACCUUUUUGCCACUGUAAAAAAAAAUUAGGAUGUUUCUGUGUGAGUGGUUAUGAAAGGAUUUUAUUAUUGCCCAUUCCUGUUUACUGAACCCUGAAACUUUGGUCACACUGCAUUGGACACAAGUCUUUAACAAUCAACAUGGCCUGUCAACAUGUCUUUUCAACCAAGAACACCUAAAUUCAUUGUAAAUAAUUCAGUCAAUUGUUGACUUAAAGUACUCUAGCCUACACUACAGCUCUUCGUACUUGGGUCAUGUUAGCCUCACUAUGAAAACAGAUAUAAUUUCGAGGAUAAUCAUUAUGUACAAGGGUUAGAUUUAAAGCUUAUACUCUGUACUGUGAAUCUAUUACUAUAAACACUUAUUUGCUCAAUUCUCUUUUUACAGCUUACCAACCUACAAGUAAUUUGAUGUUUUUCUAUAUGUCGUUGCUAUAAUCCCUAGAAGUACUUUUCUUACUCUGUCAUUUCAAUUAUCAAGUAAGGAAUCAACUCCUCUAUCAUCGAUAUAAAACAUCAAGUGACUAAGUAGAGGUAGCAGGAAAAACCAG